GGGCCCGCACAAGCGGUGGAGUAUGUGGUUUAAUUCGACGCAACGCGCAGAACCUUACCCAGUCUUGACAUCCUUUGCUCACCAUAGAGAUAUGGUUUCCUCCUUCACGGGAGGCAGAGUGACAGGUGCUGCAUGGCUGUCGUCAGCUCGUGUCGUGAGAUGUUCGGUUAAGUCCGGUAACGAGCGCAACCCCUAUCCUUAGUUGCCAUCAUUUAGUUGGGCACUCUGAAAGAACUGCCAGUGAUAAGCUGGAGGAAGGUGGGGAUGACGUCAAGUCCUCAUGGCCCCUUACGUGUUGGGCUACACACGUGCUACAAUGGUAUUUACAACAGGAAGCAAGCGGCGCGUU
rnacentral:rRNA from 1 species